AUGCUCUCUUUGGCAGCAAAUAUACUAAAAUUGGAACAAUACAGAGAAGAUUAACAUGUCCCACCCCUGCGCAAGGAUGACACGCAAAUUCCUGAAGCGUUCCAUAUUUAA